CAACUCUCUUACGGGUUGAGAUAUGCUAACAUUGGUCGAAGCCGAUGGAUCCGCUGUCUUCGUUUGAACCCUUCCUCUGGUUAUACAAACCCUAGCCUCCAGUGCACCACGCCGUUCGUCUUCGCCGGUCGACUUCGCCGUUUGACUUCGCCGUUCGUCUUCGCCGUCCAAACUAAAUUUGGUCCAAAAUCAAGCUUUGCUUAUGAUGAUGAGAUUGAGGAGUAACUCAAGGCUUAUAGUAUGCAUGAAUGAUUCACUUGCAAAAUGGUGGAUUAAAAUAGAAUGUGCACAAUUGCAGAAUUUCGUUAAAACAGAACCAGGGAAAAAAAAAAAAAAAAACCUAUCCGUCCGUACAACCCGGCAUGUACGGACGGUACGGGUCGGGUUGGCGCGCUUUGGGUAACCGGGUCGGAUCCGACAUGCAGAGAAAUCGGCUUUGCUUCACGGGUUGCAGGCCUAAUAUAGAGUUCAAAAGAGAGUUCCUCGUGGUCGCACUUGAAGUUUUAUAAGAAACGCGGAGAUCGAGAUCUUGUUACAGGA